rnacentral:rRNA from 1 species
GAUUGCGAUCAUACCAGCACUAAUGCACCGGAUCCCAUCAGAACUCUGCAGUUAAGCGUGCUUGGGCGAGAGUAGUACUAGGAUGGGUGACCCCCUGGGAAGUCCUCGUGUUGCAACCCC